AAUCUUUUUUACUUUUGAGGCGGAUGAGGAGGUUGAAUAGAUGAUCGUGGUUGCAAAAAUUUGUGUACACGUUAUGGGUACAAGCAUUGAUUUUAUAUUUCUCUCUACAUAUGUGAUUACUUGUAU